GUGAAUCAUCUGAUGCAACAAACCGAGUGACCAACAAAUCUUGUCAGACAACUUUGGCGCCCAAUAGUCUGAAGAAAGCAACGGGAAAGAUAAGAGCUGGGAAUGAGAUGACCAGGUGGGACAGAUUAAAAAGCCAAGGGGCAGAAGGAUCUUGAUUAAAUUCAUGUGAAAAUAGGAGAGAGCCUUUGCCAUGUCAUGGAAGGAAAGCGCUUUUAAACUUUCUCCAGGAGACAAUGACUGGUCCAACUCCAAACCAGGAAGCAGCAUCCAAAGCGUGUCACUGCUCUUCCCGAGAAAACUGAGAAGGAAUUUCUUUGCCUGAGGCUGGCGCUGGAAUAUCAAACAAAGGGGAUGCAAUGCAAAAGAAAGACAGUCCUUGGUCAGGAACCAAAGGCUUCAGAGCUCCAGAGGUACAUCAACUAUAACUAUCUGUGGCCCUUUUCUUGGCUUGUGCGAUCUUUGCACCAAGGCCCUAAGAUAGACGUCCCAGUUACUUUGUUACAUCUAGUGAUCGGCAAAGCACCUACCUUUUACUGGUGGCCUUGAACAGAACAUGAAAGUUAUUGCACAAUUACGAGGCAGUGAAGAAUUAUGGGAAGUUGCUAAACUGCACAACCGUGAAUCUUCUUUCCCUGAGGAACUGUUACGAAUCACUGUACUUAAAGAGAAUGGCGUUGAGGAAAUGGUUCGAAAACACAAAACGCAGACGUGAUUCCCCUCUUGCUUCUUGACCUUGUUGAUAAGUUUGACAGUAAACCCGAGGCUACGAAUCAGUGCAGAGGACCCUUAGAAGACAAAGGCUCCAUAAGCAGCAAACGCAACCGCAGCCUUCAGUGGCAGUGGUUGCUGCCGCAGUAGGACAAGCACCCAGCUAAUGAUAGAAAUGUAAAAGUAAAUAACCAAACAUUUGAAGUUUUAUAUUUCCUCAAUUCUUUACACACUUAGUAUG